rnacentral:rRNA from 1 species
UACGAAGGGGGCGAGCGUUGUUCGGAUUUACUGGGCGUAAAGCGUGCGUAGACGGCUAUCUAAGUCGGGUGUGAAAGCCCCGGGCUCAACCUGGGAAUUGCAUUCGAGACUGAAUAGCUAGGGUACGGUAGAGGGAAGCGGAAUUUCCGGUGUAGCGGUGAAAUGCGUAGAUAUCGGAAGGAACAUCAGUGGCGAAAGCGGCUUCCUGGACCAGUACCGACGUUCAGGCACGAAAGCGUGGGGAGCAAACAGG